rnacentral:rRNA from 1 species
UACAGAGGUCUCGAGCGUUAGGCGGAAUCACUGGGCUUAAAGCGUGUGUAGGCGGAUCGUUAAGUACCUUGUGAAAUCCCACGGCUUAACCGUGGAACUGCUUGGUAUACUGGCGGUCUUGAGCCAGCUAGGGGCUACCGGAACAAAUGGUGGAGCGGUGAAAUGCGUAGAUAUCAUUUGGAACGCCAAUGGUGAAAACAGGUAGCUGGGGCUGUGCUGACGGCUGAGACACGAAGCCAGGGAGCAAACGGG